rnacentral:rRNA from 1 species
UACGUAGGGACCAAGCGUUGUUCGGAUUUACUGGGCGUAAAGGGCGCGUAGGCGGCGUGUUAAGUCACUUGUGAAAUCUCUAAGCUUAACUUAGAACGGUCAAGUGAUACUGAUGUGCUAGAGUGCAGAAGGGGCAACCGGAAUUCUUGGUGUAGCGGUGAAAUGCGUAGAUAUCAAGAGGAACACCAGAGGUGAAGACGGGUUGCUGGGCUGACACUGACGCUGAGGCGCGAAAGCGUGGGGAGCAAACAGG